AAAUGAAUAGACGGGGGCCCGCACAAGCGGUGGAGCAUGUGGUUUAAUUCGAAGCAACGCGAAGAACCUUACCAGGUCUUGACAUACUCAUAAAGGCUCCAGAGAUGGAGAGAUAGCUAUAUGAGAUACAGGUGGUGCAUGGUUGUCGUCAGCUCGUGUCGUGAGAUGUUGGGUUAAGUCCCGCAACGAGCGCAACCCUUAUCGUUAGUUACCAUCAUUAAGUUGGGGACUCUAGCGAGACUGCCAGUGACAAGCUGGAGGAAGGCGGGGAUGACGUCAAAUCAUCAUGCCCCUUAUGACCUGGGCUACACACGUGCUACAAUGGAUGGUGCAGAGGGAAGCGAAGCCGCGAGGUGAAGCAAAACCCAUAAAACCAUUCUCAGUUCGGAUUGUAGUCUGCAACUCGACUACAUGAAGUUGGAAUCGCUAGUAAUCGCGAAUCAGCAUGUCGCGGUGAAUACGUUCUCGGGCCUUGUACACACCGCCCGU
rnacentral:rRNA from 1 species